AAAUUCGACUUCAUGAAGCUGGAAUUGCCUAGUAAUGGCAGGUCAGCAUACUGCCGUGAAUACGUUCCCGGGCCUUGUACACACCGCCCGUCACACCAUGAGAGUUGGGAAUACCCGAAGCCUGUGAGCUAACUGUAAAGAGGCAGCAGUCGAAGGUAGAAUCAAAUGAUUGGGGUGAAGUCGUAACAAGGUAUC
rnacentral:rRNA from 1 species